CCCGGUCCUCGGUAGUAGGGAUUGGUGUCCUCCUCCACGAGGACCGGCGCGUCGGUCACGGACCGCGCCGCCGCCGGCACCAGUCCCUUCGAUCGAAGAUCGGC
rfam:Marmoricola scoriae strain DSM 22127 genome assembly, chromosome: I